CUGUGAAUUCCAAUUUCUCUCUAAAAUAAUAAAUAUAUACAUAACGAAAUCAGCAUGCAGAAAUUAUUUUAUUUUCUAUUAUUAACAAUUUGCGUUCUACUAAUGACGACAGAAAUCUUAUCAGCGCCUACAAAUAAAAGGAAAGAAUCAAAGCUACCCUGUUUUAUGCAGUCUUAUCCAGGCAUAGUGAUUCCUAUACCAUGUUAGCAAAACUUACAGAUAUCAGUGUAUAAAAAAAAUUCAUUUUUUAUUUUGUUUUUAUUUAACUUUGUAAUUACAAUGAAACGAAUAAAUAAAUAAUUUAUAAUACAAAAUAA